UGGGCUGGUCGAAAGAUCCUGGUCCACCGAACAGCGGGGAAUUUCUCC
rnacentral:ncRNA from 1 species